AAAGUGGUUGUAUCAGUUGAUGCUCUCAUCAGCAAUUCUAGUUGCUCCACAUCCUUUCCAACACCUGGUCUUGCUUCUCUUUCAUAUGUUCACUAUUUGAUAGGGAUGUUAUGAUAUUUCAAUAGGAUUUUAACUUGCAUUUAUAUUUCAGCUCAUAUACAUUGAGGCAUCUCUCCUGAGCUAUUAGGAAGACACUAUUUUUUCUUUUUUUAAGAUUUAUUUUCUUUUAGGACAACUUUAGAGUCAGAGCAAAACUGAGUGAAAGGUGUAGAGAUUUUCCCCUAUGCACCUUGCCCCCAUAUAUGGGGGCAACAGCUUCCUCUGUUAUCAACCUCCCCGACCAGAGUGGCACAUCAAUGAACCUACACUGAUACAUUAUUAUCACCCAAAGACCAUAAUUUGUCUUAAGGUUUGUUCUGGAUAUUGCACAUUCUAUGGGUUUGACAACUACAUAAUCUGUAUAUCUGCCAUUAUAAUACCACACAGAGUAUUUUCACUGCCCUAAGAAUCCACUGUGCUCCAUAAUGAUCACUUCCCCCUUUAUCCAGGUUGGGCACAAGUUUUCUUGUGUACUAUCAAGCUCCCAGUCAGGACUUUCCUCCUGAGGGGAGCAGGCCAUCAGCAUUUCUUAUAUUUUGUCCCUAUCUGCCUGUUAGGGUCCUAGACAACCAGUGGUGAGGGCUGAGGGCUCCCUUCUGCUCAGUCUGCACUGUGGCAAAGGGCGGGCGGAGCAUGCUGGGGUCAUAAUCACUCUUGCCCCAGCUUGUGAGGUGGUGGCUCCUUGUGACCUCAAUCUACUUCCCUCUGCUUCAUCAAGCACUCUGUUUCUAGAGCAGAGAUGCUUGUCAUACCCUCAACUCAUGCCCCAGAGCUGUGUCCUGGAGAUUUUGCCUGGGAGAGCAACAGGCCUUCCUUAAAAUAGACAAUUCCUAAUCUCUCUCCAAAGCAACUGACUUCAUUUGCAAAGGAAUGUGAAGUUCAAACCUACGGAUCCUCUCAAGUAGAGUGGAGGUUGUGGUGAAAGGAAAUUGAUUCCUAAAUUUCAUGAUGAUAUAGCCUACCCUGUUGAGCAGCUAGUUUGUAGUAGAGAACUGGGGAAUGAGUAACAGAUAUUCUGAGCCCUCUGGGGUCAGAAUGAUCUCUAGCAUGAACCUCAGCAAUUGUUUCCCCCCAAGGAAUCAGAGUUGGAUUGGAUUAGUUAUAAAGCAAUAUAUGCUUUGGGGAGUUGUUGAAGAUAAUAGAACAAUCAGCAAGCAACUAGUAGAGCUGAACAGCUGGGAGACGUCAGGGAAAGAAAGAGAACUCCUGUCAUCCUAGGGUGACCGGUGGACAUAUCCCAAACUGCACUUCCCAGAGGACCAACAUCAGAGGCUUAAAACUGGCUUGGGAGGUAGGGAGAGGAGGGAUAGAUUCAGUAAAAUCCAGUUGGCCACAAAACAAUGGACAAGCAGAUGCUAAAAACAUGCUAUGGAGGGGGAUAUCAGUACCCAGAGCUGCUACAGUUUUGCUGCCAUCCUUGACCAUGGUUCUAAAAUGUCCUGGUUCCAACGAGAGGUAUGUGGAGAAACAGCAAAGUAUGACCCAUACACUGGAAUAAAACAGAAGGCAAUAAAAACUGCUUAUGAGAAUGAGCAGAUGUCAUAUUUAACAGCAAAGACUUUGAAAUAGACAUUGUAGCCAAAGGACCUUUUUUUUAAAGACAGGAUCUCGCUAUGUUGUUCAGGAAGGAUCCCUGAGGGAUGGACAAACGCUGUGUGCCUGGUCAGGACUCUGGAAGCACACUGCCUGGGCUCCACAGGUUUAGCUGCUUGGAAUGUUGUCACCUUUGGAAGAUCACUUACUGCUCUCUGUGUUCAAGUCUUUCUUCACCUUUGAUAUGGUGAUAAUAAAGGCACCUACCUCAGAGGAUUCUCUUAAGAAUUGAGGGAUUAUGUAAAGCUCUUGGAAUAGCUCCCAGGGCAACGUACGCAGCAUUAUAUAAGAGUGGCUCUCAUUAUCUUAAGACCUUAAUGAACAUAAAUUAAAUGAGAUUCUCACAUACAGAUGA